GAUGAAGAACGCAGCGAAAUGCGAUACUUGGUGUGAAUUGCAGAAUCCCGUGAACCAUCGAGUCUUUGAACGCAAGUUGCGCCUCAAGCCAUUAGGUUGAGGGCACGUCUGCCUGGGCGUCACAUAUCGUUGCCUGAUGCCAGUUUCCUCGUGAUGGGUGACUGUGCAGGGCGAAUGAUGGCUUCCCGUGAGCAUUGUUGCCUCAUGGUUGGUUGAAAAUUGAGUCCUUGGUAGGGAGCGCCGUGAUAGAUGGUGGUUGAGUGACGAACGAGACCCAAUCAUGUGAGACCCCUACCGAAUUUGGCCUUCAUGACCCACAUGCGUCUUUGGAACGGUCAUGACGAGACCUCAGGUCAGGCGGGGCUACCCGCUGAGUUUAAGCAUAUCAAUAAGCGGAGGA
rnacentral:misc_RNA from 1 species